rnacentral:rRNA from 1 species
GAUGAACGCUAGCGGCAGGCCUAACACAUGCAAGUCGAGGGGCAGCAUAAAAUAAACUUGUUUAUUUGGUGGCGACCGGCGCACGGGUGCGUAACGCGUAUGCAACCUACCUUAUACUGGGGAAUAGCCCGAAGAAAUUCGGAUUAAUGCCCCAUAGUACUGAGACCUCUCCUGAGGAUUCAGUUAAAGCUUUGGCGGUAUAAGAUGGGCAUGCGUCCAAUUAGCUAGAUGGUGAGGUAACGGCUCACCAUGGCGACGAUUGGUAGGGGGCCUGAGAGGGUGGUCCCCCACACGGGUACUGAGACACGGACCAGACUCCUACGGGAGGCAGCAGUGAGGAAUAUUGGUCAAUGGGCGCAAGCCUGAACCAGCCAUGCCGCGUGAAGGAUGAAGGUUCUAUGGAUCGUAAACUUCUUUUAUUUGGGAAUAAACCUCUUUACGUGUAGAGAGCUGAAGGUACCAAAUGAAUAAGCACCGGCUAACUCCGUGCCAGCAGCCGCCGUAAUAC